UACGAAGGGGGCUAGCGUUGCUCGGAAUUACUGGGCGUAAAGCGCACGUAGGCGGCUUUCUAAGUCGGGGGUGAAAUCCUGGAGCUCAACUCCAGAACUGCCUUCGAUACUGUAGAGCUUGAGACCGGAAGAGGUAAGUGGAACUGCGAGUGUAGAGGUGAAAUUCGUAGAUAUUCGCAAGAACACCAGUGGCGAAGGCGGCUUACUGGUCCGGUUCUGACGCUGAGGCGCGAAAGCGUGGGGAGCAAACAGG
rnacentral:rRNA from 1 species